rnacentral:rRNA from 1 species
AACGAACGCUGGCGGCAUGCCUAACACAUGCAAGUCGAACGAGACCUUCGGGUCUAGUGGCGCACGGGUGAGUAACGCGUGGGAACCUGCCCUUAGGUUCGGAAUAACUCCCCGAAAGGGGUGCUAAUACCGGAUAAUGUCUUCGGACCAAAGAUUUAUCGCCUUUGGAUGGGCCCGCGUUGGAUUAGCUAGUUGGUAGGGUAAAAGCCUACCAAGGCGACGAUCCAUAGCUGGUCUGAGAGGAUGAUCAGCCACGCUGGGACUGAGACACGGCCCAGACUCCUACGGGAGGCAGCAGUGGGGGAUAUUGGACAAUGGGCGAAGGCCUGAUCCAGCAAUGCCGCGUGAGUGAUGAAGGCCUUAGGGUUGUAAAGCUCUUUUACCCGGGAUGAUAAUGACAGUACCGGGAGAAUAAGCUCCGGCUAACUCCGUG